rnacentral:tRNA from 1 species
UCAGUUGGUAGAGCACUGCCUUUGCAAGGCAGGGGUCGCAGGUUCGAAACCUGUCGCAUCC